rnacentral:rRNA from 1 species
UACGUAGGGGGCUAGCGUUGUCCGGAAUCAUUGGGCGUAAAGCGCGUGUAGGCGGUCCGGUAAGUCCGCUGUGAAAGUCGGGGGCUCAACCCUCGAAUGCCGGUGGAUACUGUCGGGCUAGAGUGCGGAAGAGGCGAGUGGAAUUCCUGGUGUAGCGGUGAAAUGCGCAGAUAUCAGGAGGAACACCAAUGGCGAAGGCAGCUCGCUGGGACGGUACUGACGCUGAGGAGCGAAAGCGUGGGGAGCGAACAGG